CCUACGGGAGGCAGCAGUGGGGAAUAUUGCACAAUGGGGGGAACCCUGAUGCAGCGACGUCGCGUGAGUGAAGAAGUAUCUCGGUAUGUAAAGCCUUGUCAGCAGGGAAGCAGAAAGACGGUACCUGACCAAGAAGCCCCGGCUAACUACGUGCCAGCAGCCGCGGCAAUACGUCGGGGGCAAGCGUUAUCCGGAUUUACUGGGGGUUAAGGGAGCGUAGGCGGCAGUGCAAGUCUGGAGUGAAAGGCAGGGGCCCAACCCCUGGACUGCUCUGGAAACUGUCCGGCUUGAGUGCAGGAGAGGUAAGUGGAAUUCGUAGUGUAGCGGUGAAAUGCGUAGAUAUUAGGAGGAACACCAGUGGCGAAGGCGGCUUACUGGAGUGUAACUGACGUUGAGGCUCGAAAGCGUGGGGAGCAAACAGGAUUAGAUACCCUUGUAGUC
rnacentral:rRNA from 1 species